UCCCUCAUAGCUCAGUUGGUAAAGCAUCUGCCUGCAAUGAAGGAGACUCAGGUUUGAUUCCUGGGUCGGGAA
rnacentral:tRNA from 1 species